rnacentral:rRNA from 1 species
UACAGAGGUCUCAACCGUUGUUCGGAUUCAUUGGGCGUAAAGGGUGCGUAGGCGGCGUGGUAAGUCGGGUGUGAAAUCUCGGAGCUUAACUCCGAAACUGCAUUCGAUACUGCCGUGCUUGAGGACUGGAGAGGAGACUGGAAUUUACGGUGUAGCGGUGAAAUGCGUAGAUAUCGUAAGGAAGACCAGUGGCGAAGGCGGGUCUCGUGGACAGUUCCUGACGCUGAGGCACGAAGGCCAGGGAGCAAACGGG